rfam:Triticum aestivum genome assembly, contig: Triticum_aestivum_CS42_TGACv1_scaffold_177739_2DS
UAAGUACUCCCUCCGUCCCAAAAUUCUUGUCUUAGAUUUGUCUAGAUACGGAUGUAUGUCCCAAAAUUCUUGUCUUAGAUUUGUCUAGAUACGGAUGUAUACAUCCGUAUCUAGACAAAUCUAAGACAAGAAUUUUGGGACGGAGGGAGCACUUU